GUUGAUGGGGAGGUCAGGUCUGGGAAACUAGGCCCUGGGGUUUUCCCUGAGCAGGAGCGGUGCCCGAGGGCCUCAGGCUGAACCUCCUCAGAAGAGCAACUGGAGAUAGAAGCAUGAAUCUUUUAUCCAUACGUUCCGCCAGGCUCGAGAGGUCCAGCAGGUAACUGCCAAAGGUGGAAACUGUUCACACUUGCCUCCCAUCCUGCCUGCAGAAAACCCAGACUACAUUCAGUGUCCUCAAUGUAGCCACCACUUUGCUCCCAAGGUGGCUGAGCAACACAUUCCCAAGUGUAAGACCAUCAAGAACUGUCUUCCACCUCUAAGGAAGCAUCAUAGUUGAGCAGACAACAAUGGAAACUUUUGGAUAGUUCAGAAAGCUCUGCUUCUCUUCAGCAGUAAAUGGGAGUAGAAUUUGAUGCAAAGCAGAAAGAAAUCAAACAGCUUCCAGAUCUGCCUGCAGAGCUAAAAUCUGUGAGGAGAGAGCCACUGCUAAGCAGCAGGAGGCAGAAGGAAGCCCCAGCUUCCCACUAAAUUACAACCUUGGGCUGGUAUGCUUUAUGUUAUUGCCCUCAGAAUUGAUGGGUGAAGACACUGAAGAGUCGUGAGCAGGCUCCAUUAAAGCUCUCUUCUUGCAUG
rnacentral:sRNA from 1 species